GAUUCAUGAUAACUCCUCGAAUCGCAUGGCCUUGUGCCGGCGAUGGUUCAUUCAAAUUUCUUCCCUAUCAACUUUCGAUGUUUGGGUAUUGGCCAAACAUGGUUGCAACGGGUAACGGAGGGUUAGGGCUCGACCCCGGAGAAGGAGCCUGAGAAACGGCUACUACAUCCAAGGAAGGCAGCAGGCGCGCAAAUUACCCAAUCCCGACACGGGGAGGUAGUGACAAUAAAUACUGAUACAGGGCUCUUUUGGGUCUUGUAAUUGGAAUGAGUACAAUUUAAAUCCCUUAACGAGGAACAAUUGGAGGGCAAGUCUGGUGCCAGCAGCCGCGGUAAUUCCAGCUCCAAUAGCGUAUAUUAAAGUUGUUGUGGUUAAAAAGCUCGUAGUUGAACCUUGGGCCUGGCUGGCCGGUCCGCCUCACCGCGUGCACUGGUCCGACCGGGCCUUUCCUUCUGAGGAGCCGCAUGCCCUUCACUGGGUGUGUCGGGGAACCAGGACUUUUAC
rnacentral:rRNA from 1 species